GACAUAUUAAUUCAGUUGGUUAGAAUAUCAUGCUGAUAAUGCGAAAGUCAUAGGUUUGACUCUGUAUGAGUUA
rnacentral:tRNA from 1 species